rnacentral:rRNA from 1 species
GAUGAACGCUGGCGGCGUGCCUAAUACAUGCAAGUCGAGCGAACGGACGAGAAGCUUGCUUCUCUGAUGUUAGCGGCGGACGGGUGAGUAACACGUGGAUAACCUACCUAUAAGACUGGGAUAACUUCGGGAAACCGGAGCUAAUACCGGAUAAUAUUUUGAACCGCAUGGUUCAAAAGUGAAAGACGGUCUUGCUGUCACUUAUAGAUGGAUCCGCGCUGCAUUAGCUAGUUGGUAAGGUAACGGCUUACCAAGGCAACGAUGCAUAGCCGACCUGAGAGGGUGAUCGGCCACACUGGAACUGAGACACGGUCCAGACUCCUACGGGAGGCAGCAGUAGGGAAUCUUCCGCAAUGGGCGAAAGCCUGACGGAGCAACGCCGCGUGAGUGAUGAAGGUCUUCGGAUCGUAAAACUCUGUCAUUAGGGAAGAACAUAUGUGUAAGUAACUGCGCACAUCUUGACGGUACCUAAUCAGAAAGCCACGGCUAACUACGUG